rnacentral:tRNA from 1 species
AGGCGCGUAGCUCAGCUGGUUAGAGCGCAUGCUUGACAUGCAUGAGGUCAGCGGUUCGAUCCCGCUCGUGCCUA